GUCCAGCUGAUAAAUCCCAAAUAGGACGAAACGCGCGCCCUGGAU
rfam:Schistosoma mansoni strain Puerto Rico chromosome 6, complete genome